rnacentral:rRNA from 1 species
CCGCCCGUCACAUCACGAAAGUAGGUUGCACUAGAAGUAGCUGGGCCAACUCGCAAGAGAGGCAGGUUACCACGGUAUGAUUUAUGAUUGGGGUG